GGUUGAGGUGGAGAGAGGUGGGUUAAGGUAUGUCUAAACCACUCUCUGAUGCAGGUGCUGCUCAGUGAUGCCAGAUGGGAGGUUUUAUAAUGUGUAAAUUGUCCCUUUUAAUAACUUUGAUCGGUAGAUGGAUCGACAGGAGGUUUAGUAAUAUUUAAUAACUGAUAGGUAGAUGGAGGUUUAGUAAUAUUUAAUAACUGAUAGGUAGAUGGAGGUUUAGUAAUAUUUAAUAACUGAUAGGUAGAUGGAGGUUUAAUAAUAUUUAAUAACUGAUAGGUAGAUGGAGGUUUAGUAAUAUUUAAUAACUGAUAGGUAGAUGGAGGUUUAGUAAUAUUUAAUAACUGAUAGGUAGAUGGCGGUUUAGUAAUAUUUAAUAACUGAUAGGUAGAUGGAGGUUUAGUAAUAUUUAAUAACUGAUAGGUAGAUGGAGGUUUAGUAAUAUUUAAUAACUGAUAGGUAGAUGGAGGUUUAGUAAUAUUUAAUAACUGAUAGGUAGAUGGAGGUUUAGUAAUAUUUAAUAACUGAUAGGUAGAUGGAGGUUUAGUAAUAUUUAAUAACUGAUAGGUAGAUGGAGGUUUAAUAAUAUUUAAUAACUGAUAGGUAGAUGGAGGUUUAGUAAUAUUUAAUAACUGAUAGGUAGAUGGAGGUUUAAUAAUAUUUAAUAACUGAUAGGUAGAUGGAGGUUUAGUAAUAUUUAAUAACUGAUAGGUAGAUGGAGGUUUAGUAAUAUUUAAUAACUUUAAGAGGUAGAGGGAUAGACACGAGGUUUAAUAGCUUUGAUAUUAACUUAACAUUAGUAUUAAGUAGUGGUCAGAUAUUAAAUAAACAUUUCAUAUAACCACGAGGAAGAGUGUGUAGAAAUAUAUCACAUUUACGGACAGAAACGGAAUAUAACUGGAUUAUAUAAUAUCCACAGAAUAAAUUGAUGUGUAUUAAUAAGUAUGUGUGUGUGUGUGUGUGUGGUU